AUGACAAAGCAACAAAGAGAUUUCUGUGACAGUGUUCUGAUCACUCAGUGGCUGAAGUACAUAUCCAGUCUCCCAGGCUCUUCAGUUGAAAUGCACUGUUACCAGAAUGACACAGAGUAUGACUACAAAUACUGGUACAGGCAAAUAAAAGGUGAAGGGCCAGUGCUUAUCGGAAGCUACAAUUUUAACUCUCCUUCCAGUGAGAAGGAUUUUGAGAGUGGCUUUACAAUGUCAGGUACAGAGACAAAGAAACUGACCCUGACUAUGGAAGUUAAGGAGGGGAUUGAUGCUGUGUAUCUGUGUGCUGCUAGUUAA